AUUGAACGCUGGCGGCAGGCCUAACACAUGCAAGUCGAGCGGAUGAAGGGAGCUUGCUCCUGGAUUCAGCGGCGGACGGGUGAGUAAUGCCUAGGAAUCUGCCUGGUAGUGGGGGAUAACGUCCGGAAACGGGCGCUAAUACCGCAUACGUCCUGAUGGAGAAAGUGGGGGAUCUUCGGACCUCACGCUAUCAGAUGAGCCUAGGUCGGAUUAGCUAGUUGGUGGGGUAAAGGCCUACCAAGGCGACGAUCCGUAACUGGUCUGAGAGGAUGAUCAGUCACACUGGAACUGAGACACGGUCCAGACUCCUACGGGAGGCAGCAGUGGGGAAUAUUGGACAAUGGGCGAAAGCCUGAUCCAGCCAUGCCGCGUGUGUGAAGAAGGUCUUCGGAUUGUAAAGCACUUUAAGUUGGGAGGAAGAGCAGUAAGUUAAUACCUUGCUGUCUUGACGUUACCAACAGAAUAAGCACCGGCUAACUUCGUA
rnacentral:rRNA from 1 species